rnacentral:rRNA from 1 species
CCUACGGGAGGCAGCAGUGGGGAAUCUUGCGCAAUGGGCGAAAGCCUGACGCAGCAACGCCGCGUGCGGGAAGAAGGCUUUCGGGCUGUAAACCGCUUUCAGUAGGAACGAAACUGACGGUACCUACAGAAGAAGGAGCGGCCAACUAUGUGCCAGCAGCCGCGGUGAUACAUAGGCUCCAAGCGUUGUCCGGAUUUAUUGGGCGUAAAGAGCUCGUAGGCGGUUGAGUAAGUCGGGUGUGAAAACUUUGGGCUUAACCCAAAGAUGCCACUCGAUACUGUUCAACUUGAGUUUGGUAGGGGAGUGGGGAAUUCCUUGUGUAGCGGUGAAAUGCGCAGAUAUAAGGAGGAACACCGGUGGCGAAGGCGCCACUCUGGGCCAAUACUGACGCUGAGGAGCGAAAGCGUGGGGAGCAAACAGGAUUAGAUACCCUGGUAGUCCACGCGGUAAACGGUGGUCACUAGGUGUGGGUCUCUAACCAAUGAGAUCCGCGCCGUCGCUAACGCAUUAAGUGACCCGCCUGGGGAGUACGGUCGCAAGACUAAAACUCAAAGGAAUUGACGG